rnacentral:lncRNA from 1 species
AAGGAGCAGUAUGUUCUGGAAUUAAAAUUAACCAGUCAGGGAAAAAAUGGCAAGAGAUAGAAGUGGGGAGAAAUCAGAGCUCACUACCAAAGUCCUAUCCUGUCUAUGAGCAGAGGAACAGAAUAUGCAUCUCAGAAUGACAUCCUGAGAGCAGGAGUUCAGCCUAGAGGAUGGUGCUGCCCACAGUGGGCUGGGUCUUAUGUAUCAGUUAACAAUCAAGACAAUCUUCCACAGACAUGCUCGCAGGUCAAUCUAGACUAUCCUAUCUCAGCUUCACCAAGAGAGAGAGAAAAACAGAGAAGAGGAGGCUGCUGCAUGUGGUUUAGGUGAGUUGCUCACCUAUGUUCAUAGCUCUAGCUAUGAACAUAGUGAGACCACAAGACCAUUCUGUGGCACAAAUCUAGACCUACACUGGGAAAGCCAUGGGUGUCUCGCUGGACUUACAGGUUGAGUGGCUAAUGAGCUUCUCAGGAGAUCAGACUGAAUGAAGUAUGAUAUGUACUUGAGUUAUUACAGGAGGAUCCAAAAGGCCAAUGAUUUCUGUUCACUAUUGAUAAUGAUUAUAUAUAUAUAUAUAUAUAUAUAUUCAUUAUAUAUAUGUUGAUAAUGAAUAUAUAUAUAUAUAUAAUGACAAAUGAAAAGGUUGAUAGCAGUCAUAACUGGGCAGUGCAAACUAAAGUCACAGUGAAAAGCUAUCUAUGGACACCAGACUGGCAGACAUACUAGGGAAGUUGGUGUCAACCUGGGUUACCAAGAAUGCAGACUCUUGGAAUGUACACACAUGGCAUGGGGGAAUGAAAAGUUACUCUGGUAAACAAUCUUUUGGUUUCUUUAAAGGUAAAAAUAAG